rnacentral:rRNA from 1 species
AUUGAACGCUGGCGGCAGGCCUAACACAUGCAAGUCGAACGGUAACAGGAAGAAGCUUGCUUCUUUGCUGACGCGUGGCGGACGGGUGAGAAAUGUCUGGGAAACUGCCUGAUGGAGGGGGAUAACUACUGGAAACGGUAGCUAAUACCGCAUAACGUCGCAAGACCAAAGAGGGGGACCUUCGGGCCUCUUGCCAUCGGAUGUGCCCAGAUGGGAUUAGCUAGUAGGUGGGGUAACGGCUCACCUAGGCGACGAUCCCUAGCUGGUCUGAGAGGAUGACCAGCCACACUGGAACUGAGACACGGUCCAGACUCCUACGGGAGGCAGCAGUGGGGAAUAUUGCACAAUGGGCGCAAGCCUGAUGCAGCCAUGCCGCGUGUAUGAAGAAGGCCUUCGGGUUGUAAAGUACUUUCAGCGGGGAGGAAGGGAGUAAAGUUAAUACCUUUGCUCAUUGACGUUACCCGCAGAAGAAGCACCGGCUAACUCCGUG